GUGGUACCACUGCACGUGUUUCCUUGUCUCCCUGCGAAGGAAGGCUGUCAUAUUGCGUAGCGAAGCAUCAGCAGCGGCCUGUGGCGAGUCCUCCUGCGAGGACUCCAACGAGCUGCGAUCCUUCGCCUUUGCUGAUGGAGAGGGACUUUCUGGGACUAAACGGCGACGCCGCGGUGGCUCUGCAGGUGAAGGAGCGCAGCAGGGGAUUCCAGGAUUCAUCAGAUUCAAUAUCGAUCUUUACUGUAAAUCCAGCAGUUCAGUGGCCUUACGCAAACGAAACUGCUGCUCUGCUUCAAGUUCAAUCACCAAAUGCUGCAGAUGAAUGUAAGCUGAAAAGGACGACGUUCGACCACUUCUCCUUCCCUGGUCUUCAUAUCAACCCAAAAUGCUUUCCUGUGGUAUCCUCUCAGACACUCUCUAAUCUCGGAAGACAAGGACUGAAGCAGCACCUCACCAGUUCUUCUGCUACCAUAGCUUCGGAUUGUCCUCUGGUCUCGCAUUACUCCACUCCACUUGCCGGAAGUGGAGGAGCCACUGCAGAAGAAGACCAUUCUGUGAGAUCCACAUUUUUAGGAGACCGCUCAUCAUGGUAAUAACGUCGUAGUUCCCAAAGUUGGUAUGUUACUAAGCAGAACUUGAAAGCUUUUGGCCAUGCAGGAACACAUCGAAGUCCUUUUCAUCGCCCUCACAGCUAACCAUCUUCUACGGAGGCUCAGUGAUAGUGUACGACAAUGUCUCAUCGGAUAUGGCUCGUGAAAUCAUGUUGCUGGCCAGCAGCAGGAAUCAUGCAGCUGCAGCCUCAACUCCUGUGUCUUUGAGUCCUGCAACCACAACCUCGCCUAGAGCGAUACCUCUGUCUCGCAAGGCAUCUCUGGCACGGUUCGUGGAGAAGCGCAAGCAAAGAAUGAUCAACUACAAGCCUUAUCCCUUCUGCGACAAGAGAAAAGAUGCCAACUCGAGUGCAGCAUUCACACGUGCAAGCCAUGAAAACAGUGACUCAGAUAGUGGACCGUCUUCCCACAGAUGCCAAUAACUAGAGCAUGAACGAUUCAGCUUUUCUCUUCUUCCCUCCGAUCCAAUCAUUGCGAUGUAUCUUCUUAAACUGUGAGCUGCACUGUGGACAAUGGCAUCUAACAAAAAAAAUGAAAGAGCAUGCUAUCUCUUCCUUUAGCACAA